rnacentral:lncRNA from 1 species
AGUUGACUUCUCAAAUUUUGGAUUUGUGUCAUCCAAGCACUCUUAUUUUAUCUUCCUUGGGCAAAGUUCUUGUUACAUUAUGCACUUGUGUCAUCCAAGCACUCUCAUUUUAUCUUCCUUGGGAAAAGUUCUUGCUGAAUUAUGCACUUGUGUCAUCCAAGCAGUCUAAAAUGAUUUACUAUUUGCAGCUUCUUUAGACAUAGUGCGUUGCAGUAUGUAUUAACUUCUUUUUUUGUCCACUAAUUAAUCUUAAACCUUCCUUUAUGGCAGGCAACCAAUUGUCUUUGUGGCAAUGGAUACAUAAAGAAGUACUCAACUGGUCCUUUCCUGAAAAUGCAAACUGUUUGAGGUUGGAGCUGGCACUGUAGUGAGAUAAGAAGAAUGAUAAUUAGCUCUUCAAAGAGGACUGAAACUAUUCUUUUGUCAGUCAGGUGUUGGUUGCAUAUUUCUAACUAGAGGUGAGUACCGAGUAGGAUCUAAAACGUUACCAAAAUGUUUCUGGGUUUCAUUGUUUGACGAUAUCCUAUCCAAGCCUUCCCGUUCUUUUGUAUAUGUCCAACACACUUGCAAACAAACAUCAACACACAAUUGCAUUUGAUUCACUAUUCGGUUUUUAUGUAAAAAAAAGUUAGUGCUCCUCCCAUAUUUUUUGCAAGCAGCGUAGAUCCCUGACAUAGUAACAUCUUUGUGCAACGUAUAUAAGCAUCGGACAUACUGGUUUUUACAACCUUUUGGAUUCAGCACAGGCUAUAAUACCCCUUACCACCUUUACGAGACAGGAAUGUGAUUUGCAGUUUCUUGUUAAUAUAUGACAAUUCAGCUCUAAUGCAAUACAAAAUUGGGAAGUUACAUCUCAGGGGAACCUAAUAACCUUUGUGAAUAGGCAGCGCUGCCUUUUUCUACAUUGAUUUUUUUUUUCUUCAGAUGGGGCUAUAAUGCACUGAGAGCGAGUUGUCCUUCCUUGAACUUGAGCUUCUCUUCUUCCUGCUGGUGGAUAUUAGUCUCGAUGGCUUUGCCCAUUUCUGCUGGCGAUGGCCUCGACUACACCUUGUUGGCCCUUUGCAGCACUAGGUUUCUCUUCACAGCCAGCAGGCACCUUUGCAAGGAAUCCCAAUGGGACAACGACAUCAUUCAUGUAUGGCGGAAUAGAGGCUUCCUCCUGUAUUCAUGUCUAAGAAGAGGGCCUACUAACUCAUG